AUAGGGGACUUUAAUGAGAUUCUCUACUCUUCUGAAAAAGAAGGGGGAGCCCCUCGGUAUCAGUCAAGAAUGCAAGCGUUUCAGGAUGCUUUAUCAGACUGCUCCCUAGAAAAUAUUGGUUACGAAGGAGAUAAGUUUACUUGGUUUCGAGGAGGACUAAGAGAAAGACUAGACAGGGCGGUGUCUAACUAGUCAUGGGCGCAGAUGCAUCCUUGGGCAGGAUUGAUAAACCUGGAGAUGGGAAAAUCUGACCAUCGGCGAAUUUCUCUAGACACAAACCAUCUCUGUGAUGUCGCUGAUGGCCAGAGGAAGGAAAGAAGAUUUGAGGCACGUUGGUUAGUAGAAGAUACAAUGGAGGAAAUUGUCCGAACUGCAUGGCAAAAAGCAGUACACAAUGGCGUGUGUCCGAGCAUCCGAGACAAGCUUGAGCCUAUCCAUAAUGAUCUGCAUGUGUGGGAUCUGACGGUACUCAAAAGUUCAUGA
rnacentral:rRNA from 1 species